UUUGGUGAUGAUGCGCUUAGGGGAAACACCCGUUUCCAUACCGAACACGAUGGUUAAGACUUAAGCGGCCGAUGGUACUUGUUUGGAGACGAACUGGGAGAGUAGGUGGUUGCCAAAU
rnacentral:rRNA from 1 species